rnacentral:rRNA from 1 species
GGAAGUAAAAGUCGUAACAAGGUUUCCGUAGGUGAACCUGCGGAAGGAUCAUUAGUCAUUUGAAUCGUUACCUUCAGUGCUGGCUGGUCCUCCAGCAAGUGCACGUUGGUGACUUUCAUCCAUACCCCUGUGCACCUUUGGCCUCUUGCUGGCUUCGGCUGGCAGAGGAUUUUACACACAACUCGAAUGUAAUGAAAACUACUGUUGUGCGCAAGCACUACCUAAUGUACAACUUUCAACAACGGAUCUCUUGGCUCUCGCAUCGAUGAAGAACGCAGCGAAAUGCGAUAAGUAAUGUGAAUUGCAGAAUUCAGUGAAUCAUCGAAUCUUUGAACGCACCUUGCACCCUUUGGUAUUCCGAAGGGUAUGCUCGUUUGAGUGUCAUUGUACUCUCACUCUCUCUGAUCGUUUGGAUUGGGAGUGGUGGACUUGGGUGUUGCUGCUGCUGUGCUUAUUGCUGCGCGGUGGCUCACCUGAAAUGCAGUAGUGCAACUCCUGGUUGGACAUAGUACGGCGUGAUAAGUGUCUUCGCCGGCGCCUCGAAAGAGGGUGGCUGAUUGGGAGCUCUGUGCUUCAUAAACCGUCUUCGGACAAUCUCUGACAACUUGACCUCAAAUCGAGUAGGAUUACCCGCUGAACUUAAGC